UACGUAGGGGGCAAGCGUUGUCCGGAAUCAUUGGGCGUAAAGCGCGUGUAGGCGGCUCGGUAAGUCCGCUCUGAAAGUCCAGGGCUCAACCCUGGGAUGCGGGUGGAUACUGCCGGGCUCGAGUCCGGAAGAGGCGAGUGGAAUUCCCGGUGUAGCGGUGAAAUGCGCAGAUAUCGGGAGGAACACCAAUGGCGAAGGCAGCUCGCUGGGACGUGACUGACGCUGAGACGCGAAAGC
rnacentral:rRNA from 1 species